rnacentral:rRNA from 1 species
AGAGGGUGAACGGCCACAUUGGGACUGAGACACGGCCCAAACUCCUACGGGAGGCAGCAGUGGGGAAUAUUGCACAAUGGGGGAAACCCUGAUGCAGCGACGCCGCGUGAGAUGAUGAAGUAUUUCGGUAUGUAAAACUCUAUCAGCAGGGAAGAUAAUGACGUACCUGACUAAGAAGCACCGGCUAAAUACGUGCCAGCAGCCGCGGUA